GAGAAAACUAAGCAAGAUUUAAGUACUGCUGAUGGUAGUAAAUUAUGGAUUAAAUAUAAAUUGACAAAUGUUGCAAUUUGUAAUCAAGGAACAUGUUUAAAUUCUACAUUUAUAAUGGUUCCUUAUUUAUCACAAGGAAUAAUAUUAGGAACACCUUUCCUUAAUAGUAUACAACCAAUGACCAUAGAUCAAUCAGGAAUACAUACUAAAAUAAAUGGGAUUGAUAUAUCCUAUAAUUUUAUAACUACUCCUAUAACCAAAAAUGUAAAUGAAUUACCUAUAAACAAUAUUAAUAUAUUAAAGGAAAAUUUAGAGUAUAAACAAAACCAUAGCAAUUCACUAAAACAAGAAAUAAAUUUAUUAACAAUAGAAGAAAAAAUAAAAGAAAAUGUUAUACAAGAAAAGAUAAAACAAUUAGAAAUAACUAUACAACAAGAAGUAUGUAAUACUUUACCUAAUGCUUUUUGGGAAAGAAAGAAACACAUGAUAAGUUUACCAUAUGAUGAAGGAUUUACAGAGGAUAAAAUCCCUACUAAAGCAAGACCAUCUCAAAUGGAUAAAGAGAUGUUAGAAUUUUGUAAAAAGGAAAUAGAUACUUUAUUAGAAAAAGGACUAAUAACCCCAAGUAAGUCUCCUUGGAGUUGUGCUGCUUUUUAUGUCAAUAAAAAGUCAGAAAUAGAAAGAGGAACUCCAAGACUAGUAAUUAAUUACAAACCGCUUAAUAAAGCAUUAAAAUGGAUUAGAUAUCCUAUUCCUAAUAAAAAAGACCUAUUAAAUAGAAUAAGUCAAGCUAAAAUAUUUUCUAAAUUUGAUUUAAAAUCAGGUUUUUGGCAAAUACAAAUAGAACCUAAAGAUAGGUAUAAAACUGCAUUUACUGUUCCUUUUGGACAAUAUGAAUGGACAGUAAUGCCUUUUGGUUUAAAAAACGCCCCUUCAGAAUUUCAGAAAAUAAUGAAUGACAUAUUUAUUCCUCAUUCACAAUUUUGCAUAGUAUAUAUUGAUGAUAUAUUAAUAUUUUCUGAUAAUAUUGAUCAGCAUUUUAAACAUUUAAAUACAUUUAUUGAUAUUGUUAAAAAGAAUGGAUUAGUUUUAUCACCAACUAAAAUAAAUUUAUUUCAAACAAAAAUUAGAUUUCUAGGACAUAAUAUAAACCAAGGAACAAUAAUUCCUAUAGAAAGAUCUUUAACUUUUGCUGAUAAUUUUCCUGAUAGAAUUACUGAUAAGAAAAUGUUACAAAGAUUUUUAGGAAGUUUAAAUUAUAUUGCUGAUUUUUAUAAAAAUUUAGCACAAGAUACUAAGAUAUUAUAUAAAAGAUUAGGUAAAAAUCCUACUCCAUGGACAGAUGAGCAUACUAAAGCUGUUCAGAAAAUUAAGUUAAAAACUAAAACAAUACCUUGUAUAUAUUUGGCAAAUCCUCAAUGGUUUAAAAUUGUUGAGACAGAUGCUUCAAAUAUUGGUUAUGGUGGAAUAUUGAAACAGAUAAAUCCUAAUACUAAAAAAGAAGAAUUAUUAAGAUUUACUUCUGGUCACUGGAAUAAAACCCAGUUAAAUUACUCAACUGUUAAAAAAGAGAUGUUAGCAAUAUUAAAAUGUUUAUUUAAAUUUCAGGAUGAUUUACUAAAUCAAAAUUUUCUCCUGAGAAUUGAUUGCUCUUCAGCUAAAGAAAUUAUUGAAAAAGAUGUGAAAAAUUUAGUAGCAAAACAGCAGUUUGCUAGAUGGCAAGCUUUAUUAUCAAUAUUUGAUUUUCAAAUUGAAUAUAUAAAAGGGGAAUCAAAUUCCCUACCAGAUUAUUUGACCCGUGAAUUUUUACAGGGAUUACCCUCUCAAGAGACAGAGGGAAAUUAAAUAUGAAAAGAGGUGGUUAUACCCGGGGAUCAACAAGUGGUUAUACCAGAGAGGAGAAAACCUCUAGUAAAACCAUGUCAAUGAAAGACAUCCUUAAAAAGGAACAAGUGGAUGAUAUCCACACCUCAAAUGUUUGUGAAGUAAUACUCACUCUAGAAAAUUCUGACCUCAAAUGGCUUUCAGAUGCUAAUUAUAUUGCAUCAAGAUAUUUUGAACCCUAUAAUCAUUAUCCUUUAAAAGUAUCCAAUAAUAGCAGGUUAUUUUAUGAAACAAUUCUCAAUGAAACCCAGAGUGUUGAAUUUGAACACUUUUACAGAGGAAAUAGCCAACAAAAUAAACACUCCCCGUAUAGCUUUUCUAAAGCAUCUUUUAAAAAGAUGUUAUCACCAACUGAUUGGGGACUAGAUCCUAAUAGGACUAGACAAAUGACGAGCUAUCCUAAUAUGAUCUAGUCACCAACUGAUUGGGGACUAGAUCCUAAUAGGACUAGACAAAUGACUAGCUAUCCUAAUAUGCCCUAUACUUAUUGGGACUAUAAGGAUGCUUGGUUUAAUUGUUUUUAUUACAAUAAUCCAGAUUUUAAACAUACUUGGUUUUUUAGAUUUAUGGCUGAAUUUGGCCAGAAUGAUCUUCCAAAUUGGAGUGUUCAUUGGUGGGACAAAUUUGGUCCUAAAGUUAAUAUUUUACCAGAAGAGUUAUACUGAUUAUUUCCUGAAUACAAGGAACAAUGUUGAUAGUGUCACGAGGAAGGGCAUGAUAGCCGCAUGUUUAAAUUAAUGAUGGUUUAUAACCUACCUUGGAUAUGAACUUGGGAGUAUGCUACUAAGCAUAUUCAUGGAUUCAAUAAAGGUCUCCCAACACUUAUCCGCCAGUUUAAAUAUAAAUGGUGGAAUAAGUUCAAUAUUGAAGAAACUGUAAAACAGUUAAAGGAUGAUAUCCUCCAUUUCAAAAUGAAGAAUCAAGAGAAGUUAAAAACUCAGGAAAAAGAAGAAAUAAAAGAUCCCUUGAAAUCUCUUAAAGAGACUUUGAAAAGGAAAUAUCCUAAAGCUUCUAAGCAAGAAAUUCAGAAAAAAUUAUUGGAACUUGCUUCUCUAUCAGAUGAGGAUGAAGAAGAUAGUAAUACUAAUAUGUCAAUUACAGAGGAAUCCCCUGAAGAAGACUUUGUGGAGAAUAUCCAAUUUGCUCAAUCUCAGUGAUGGAUCCAAUCAAAGAGGAGUUCAGAAAGCUUAAAAAGCUUGACCAAGAAUAUGUUCGAAUUUGUGCUCAAAUAGAAAAGGAACAAGAAGAAUUAGAAUAUUUAUUUGCAAAUUAUGAAGUUGUAUUUAAUAAAUACAUAUUUGAUAAAAUUGGUACAUUCUAUGAGGUCCAGGCAGCAAAGGAUGCUUAUGAAGAAAAGUCUAGAGAGCUGUGGAAUCUACAUUAUGACCAGAGAUUAAUAAUCCGUGACAGAGAACUGUUAAAAAUAAGGCUGCAGGGAAAUCUGACAGGAUGAAUCCAGUACAAAAAGCUUUCAAGAAAUUGAAGAAAAAGGAAAAAUCCUUUAAAGCCCAGAAAAAAUGGGUAGAUAUAUUAUUUAUGUGGUACAAAUGGAAGAAAGAAAAUAAUAGGUUUCGAGACCUUGAUGAACAAUGGGAAAAUGUAAUGUAUGCAAUAGAACAAGUAACUAGACUUGGAGACAAGAGAGAAAAAUAUGAAAAUCUAAAAAAUAAACUUUUAUAUGAUAAUCAUCUUACAGGAUGAUUCAAGCAUGAUGCAGAAUGAUGCAGUCAAUGACACAGAGAUGAUGCAGACAAUGAUACAAUUGGGAGGAUGACAUAUGCAGUGACGUCAUCAGAAAAAUAAUUGAAGCCAAUAAUGCAAGACAAUCAAGCACCAGCAAUAAUAGAGCUAUAUGAUUAAAAAUCAAUCAUGUAAAAUAGUUUGUCUUUAUUAGCCAAGAAUCUAGUAUAAAUAGAGGCUUGUAUAUUCGUUGUAACUCAGAAAUUAUCGGAGAACUUCUCUCUACUAGCUCAUGUGUUGAGCAAUAUUUCUUACUGUAAAAAUCUCUUUGUAUAAUAAGUUUGAAGAUCAAUAAAAGCUUGAAUUUUGGAUCAAGUUUGAGGCUUGCAUAUCGUAUCAUUACAUGAGUAAUAACUCGUGUA
rnacentral:lncRNA from 1 species